UAUAGCUGCGCGAGUGCUUAUUUUACAACAAUUCAAGUGUUUUAAUUAAAUUAAUUAAUUGUUUUUUUGUCACGUUUUGUUUUGUUUAUUUAUUGUUGAUCUACUGUGUGAUAAAUUAUUGUAAAACAUUGCUAUUUUCUCUCAAAAAUUGGAUAUUGUCUGUCGGACAACAACAACAACAAUCAAAAUGGCGGCAAGUACAUACAAAAAAGUGUGAAAAUAUAGCUGAGCAAGUGACAAAGGCUCUUGGUACUCUAUCAAACAAAAAGUGGAGGUAUUAUUGGAUGCUUCAAAGAUAAUUAAGACUGAUUAUUAAAUUGAUAUUUGCUAAAUUAAUAUGUGCUGAUAAUUUUUGAAACAACUACUGCUAAAAUCAAGAUGAAAAGAACAAAAAUAUAUUCACUAUUAUUAUUGAAAUAACAAUCAAACUCGUAUUGAAAUAGAUUGUCAUCAAUAAAUCUAUGAUUAAAGUAUUAAUAAAUGUAGUUGAAAAAAAUUUUUGUGAUGUGCUGACAAAGGUGAAAAUAUGAAAGAAAUGUUUUAAAAAUAAAUUGGCUGUUUUUAUCAAGUUUAACAGAAGAAAAUGAGUGAUGUCAUUGAUGAUGAUUUUGAUUGUGAUAAAAGUGACAGUGGUUUAGUGAAGUGGUGCAGUAUUUUUGUGAAGAUCAUCAUCUGUUUGCUGAUUCAAAAACAUAAACAAGCAUGAUCCUGGACAAGCUGAGUAAGAUCAUCUGAACAUGUUGCCUCAUAGAUCAGCUCAGUAAGGUAAGAGGCCUUCUGGUCACUCAUUUAACCAACCCCUUCGUGUACAAUCGCCUCAACAAUCUCGUAACUUCAAAGAAUUUAUGAUAAUAUUCUUCGAGGCUACUUGAUAAUCCCUAUUAUAUUUUCAAUGUAUUUGUUUUUGGAUUAUUUAGCUCACCUUGAUCAUUUUUUUUUUUAUUUAUAAAUUGUCAAACUAAAUGAUUAACAGAAUAAUGAAUUGAUCAGGGUGUGCGACCUUGUCUAUCUCAAACAGAGUAGAUGGGGGUGAUUAGGAUGUGUUUCAGGUGCUUCUAAAAUUUUCAGUUUUUUUUCUAAACAUUUAUAAAAUUAUUUCCAAGAAACUUCAAACUUGAUUAUUAUUUUAAUAAUUUUUCUAAAAAUUUAUCAAACAAACCUGCAGCUUCAAGUAAUUUUUUUUCUAACAGAAAAAACAAUUAGUUAUAAUAAAUUUAAAAAAAAAAUGAAACUCGUAAAUAUUUUUUAAUUUAUUUUUAAACAAUUCAAUAAAAAAAAAAAAUUGUUAUAUCACAAUGCAGUCAUGCAAGUCACGUCGAAAAUACAAUUUUUUAUUUUUUUUUAUGCCACAUUUUUUUAUGAUUUAAUAUGUAUUUAAAUACAUUUUUUUAUUUUCUGUUAUAUUUCUAUUUCUAUAGCUUAUUAUUAUUUUUGUUUUUUCAAUUUUCGGACCAUUAGUUUAUCGGUGGUUACAAUAGUAAUUCGUCAAGUGGAAAUAAAUUUAGUAUCAAUAACCAGGCAGCUGACGCCAAAAAAUAUAUAUCCCAGUACAAAUUUACCUUACAUAUUAUUUGACAUUGAUUCGUUCUGCAAACUAAAAAGCACUUAUAAAAAAAAAAUUAAUUACACAGCUUAUAAUUUUCAUAACAGUAUAAAAUUAUUAACGCAAAAAAAAUAAAUAAAUAUCUUUAGUGUGGUUUGUAUAUAUAUUUUUGUUAAUAAUUCAUCAUCCACAAGUAAAAAAAAAAAAA